GUGCAAUGCACCGUACAACAAAUAUCCAACGACUCGUAUCUUCAAGUACUGUGCAUCUUUCUUAAUUUUCAAGUCUUCCACAUUGAAUUUUCAGAAUACAUAACGACGCAACUGUAGACGUUUUAACUUUGGUAGCUGAAUUGUUUCAUUUUGGAAUAUUCAUUGACAUAAGAUGAUAUCAUUCAAUAUAAUUAUCCACCAAUGUUAUAUACGUCUGAUAUCUGUAAAUAUUAAUGCAAUGGUAUUAGUGGAUGCAAUUAUGUAUAAUGUAACAUGGAUUUCAUAAGCCAUACAGUCCGAGUUUUUGCCGCGACAUGACUAGAUGGUAAUAAGAUGUAGCAACAUACCAAAAUUGUUCUAUUUCGAGAACUUUUGUUGAAUGAAGUUAUCGUUAAGGUGACCAUGUUAAUGUAUAGAGAUAUCUGAAAAAGAAAAAAAAACAAUUAAACACAUAAACACAGGAAAAAGAGAAGGGAAAAGAGAAAAAGAAAACUUACCUAAAUGUAGCCAACGUCCACACAAGGACUUAUUUUUAUAACAUUGGGAGUGGCACAGUGGCUUGUCUUAAUAACAUUGGCAGUGGACUGCGGCUUGUCUUAAUAACACUGGGAGUGGCGCAAUGGCUUGCCUUAAUAACAUUGACAGUGGCACAGUGGCACAAUGGCUUGCUAUCUUUGCGAUACCUUAAUUGAACGGUAUAUAAUUAUUAUUUCUGUGUCCUAAGAGAAGCCCAUAUUGCUUUAUGAUCACUAAAGUACGUUUCUAGAAUACCAGCUUCAAUUUCCUCUUCAAUUAAAUUUGUGUAUAAAUGAUCAAUUAACGUUCUGUUGUCGGUUGUAAAGCCUGUUAUCAGUUGCCUGUAAUGAUUUUGUACAACCAUCAAAUUGUAGAGUGACUGUCGAUCAGAUUCUACCAUCCAGUUGACAUUGAAAUCUCCAAUUAUAAUGUUUUGCGCAGAAGAAUCUUCGUCAAGUACGCUAUGUAGUGAAGACAGUAGACGUGAUAUAGCAAUAUUGGGUGAGCGAUAUACUCCAAUUAUAUUCAGAUGUGGAUUACUUUCUGUUUUAAUAAUUGUAAACUCGAUUCCAUUGACGUUGUGAGCAUAAGGGUAUCCUUCUUUUAAAGGGACUCGGCUAUAAACAGCUGUUCCACCGUAUGGACGUCCUGGACCCGUACCUUGGGAAACAUCAUUUCUGAACAACCUGUAGCCAUCAAUGUUGUAU
rnacentral:lncRNA from 1 species